rnacentral:rRNA from 1 species
GACGUAGGGCGCGAGCGUUGUCCGGAUUAUUGGGCGUAAAGAGCUCGUAGGCGGCUUGUCGCGUCGUCUGUGAAAUCCCGCGGCUCAACCGCGGGUCUGCAGUCGAUACGGGCAGGCUAGAGUUCGGUAGGGGAGACUGGAAUUCCUGGUGUAGCGGUGAAAUGCGCAGAUAUCAGGAGGAACACCGGUGGCGAAGGCGGGUCUCUGGGCCGAUACUGACGCUGAGGAGCGAAAGCGUGGGGAGCGAACAGG